rnacentral:rRNA from 1 species
CCUACGGGAGGCAGCAGUAGGGAAUCUUCCGCAAUGGACGAAAGUCUGACGGAGCAACGCCGCGUGAACGAUGAAGGCCUUCGGGUCGUAAAGUUCUGUUGUUAGGGAAGAACAAGUGCUAGUUGAAUAAGCUGGCACCUUGACGGUACCUAACCAGAAAGCCACGGCUAACUACGUGCCAGCAGCCGCGGUAAUACGUAGGUGGCAAGCGUUGUCCGGAAUUAUUGGGCGUAAAGCGCGCGCAGGCGGUUUCUUAAGUCUGAUGUGAAAGCCCCCGGCUCAACCGGGGAGGGUCAUUGGAAACUGGGAAACUUGAGUGCAGAAGAGGAAAGUGGAAUUCCAAGUGUAGCGGUGAAAUGCGUAGAGAUUUGGAGGAACACCAGUGGCGAAGGCGACUUUCUGGUCUGUAACUGACGCUGAGGCGCGAAAGCGUGGGGAGCAAACAGGAUUAGAUACCCUGGUAGUCCACGCUGUAAACGAUGAGUGCUAGUAGUUAGUAGGGUUUACCGGUCCCGUUUACGUUGUCGUGUAAGUUAACGUACUAUUAAGUACACUCCGCCGUCGGGAGGUACGGUCGGCGAGACGUGUAACGUACGAAGUUAAGUUAGUAGUUACGUUGUGAGNGCGACGACGACGACGAGGAGGAGGAG